GAUAUUCCAAGCAAGUGAGCCCUGAGACUGCAAGCAGCUCUAAGAAGUUCCGCAUUGAUCAGGUCUUCCCUUUUGAGAAUCUGGAUAAGCUCCAACCAAUCUAAAAGGAUGGUUUGCAGACUGUCUGGAGAAAAAGAUCUUCCUCAGAAGAAUAGGCUUGUUGCCUUACAGUGUUAGUGACUCAUUCCCUUUGAUGAUCCUUAGGUGGAGAUGGGGCAUGAGGAUCCUCCAGGGGAAAAGCUCACUACCACUGGGCAACAACCCUAGGUCAGGAGAUUCUACUAAGAUUCUUUCCUGGGUCCAGAUAGGAAGAUGAAGUCUCAAGACAACCACCACACAUCUGAGGAAAACAGGGACAACAACUGCCAUAUCUUACAUUCAUCAUGACAUUCAUCAUGAGCAGAUCAUAAUUCUGGACCCUUUGAUCCCCAAAGCCUCCCUUGAGGCCCUGUUGGAGAACUUCACCAAUCAUUUAUAUACUUCAAGAUGCCUUGGGAUAACUGGACAAAACAAAAAAACAACCUGUUUGAGAAGAUAAAACAGUUGUAUCUUUUUAUGCUGUGCCUGCUAAUUGAAAGAAGCCUCAUAACUAUGAAUGUGAACCUGACUAGGAAUGGAACAAAGUUAUCUAUCAUCAGCCUGGAUCUAAAGAAUCAGGACCCUGCAUACUCUAGCUCCUGAUUGUUCCCUUCAUAUUUGCCAAAUCGUUAUCUUUCUAAGAAGCAGUGUAGAGAGCAAGAAAUUUGAACACACCAAAGGAAGAUCAACAUGCCUGGCGGUCUGGCAUUUUAAAACAGGAUGAAGUAAGUUGUUAGUGGUGUAAUCCUGUAUGAAUCACUUUAGAGCUAAUAGCUUUUUGUUGGAGGUUUGUGUGGGAUGGGGUAUGGUGAUCUAACUUGGAAGGGGAGCAAAAUGUGAGAUGGGAGGAUGGCUAGUAACCUGUUAUCAACUGGAUUCACUGAAGCAACACAAAGGUAAUACAGUCAGUGUACUAGUUGUGUCACAGAGUAAUUUAGUCUCACCUUGUCUGUUCUUCAUGUUCACUGCAUAGAUUUUUUUGCCACCCUUAGAAGCCUUAACAAAUAGAAAAUUAAACCAAAACAAUGGUUUUGUUUUUUUGCUGAAAGGGUGUCCCUUUCUAACCUCCUUUUGUGAGAGAAUCUGUGGUUAAGAUUUAGUAUUAAAGAAAAUCCAGUCCCUGAAGCUGACACUGUAAUUGUAAAGGGUGUGAAAAUCAAGGCAGUUUUCUAAAGGGGUGAAGAUAUAAAGUGAGGGGAUUGAUUAGGUGCUCUCUAAGGGCCCUUUAUUAAAAUAUUCACUCAUCUGUGGCACCUAGGAAACAAGUCAGUUAGUUGAAUGUUUAAAUCCUCUGCCACUCAUUAGGUGAAGAGCCUGUGGCAGUUUAGAGUCUAAUUAGACUUGUCUGUUUGUGAAGGUUAAAUAAAAUAAUAUAUGGAAAGAGCUUCA
rnacentral:lncRNA from 1 species